rnacentral:tRNA from 1 species
GCCUGGGUGGCUCAGUUGGUUAAGCGUCUGACUUUGGCUCAGGUCAUGAUCUCACACUUUGCGGGUUCGAGCCCCGCAACACGCU